rnacentral:lncRNA from 1 species
GUGUCACGUUCUUGUUCUCAGUCUGGGAUGCAGAUCCCAAGAUAAUAAUGGCACUAGGGGGAACUGUGACCUGCAGUGUGAUGCCGUGCUCCUGGGUCCCUGCAGACACACUGUUGUGGGCCUCGCAGCUGAGCUGCGCUCCAUGGUCUUCUGGCCUCACGGUCAUCACCAGCACACUGCGGGCCACUGCCUGGGUGUGCUCUGUGCCCCACGCUGUGGACACCGGCUGGCCAUUCUGGAGACAGGGACAGGCCUGGGCCAGCUCAGGACCGGCUCCCAGACCCCACUGUCCCCCCAAUCCCCAUGCCCGCGUUUGCCCUCACCUUCAGCCACUGCAGUGUGGCUAAGGGAUUCCCCCCUCGGGCCACACACGGCAGCUCCAAGCUCUGUCCUGCUCGCACGUGCCCCUCAUCCAGGCCUGGCCACUCGAUGACAGGGGGUCCUGGAGGGACUGGGGGAUAUCAGUCACUCAGUGGGCCUGGAGUAGCCCAUCCACUCUUUCCAGGCCCCACAACCUGCCUUUGAACCCCCAUGUUUCUCUGAGUGCCUGAAUUUCCAUAAUUCCUGUGAUGCCCCCACACCCCCCAGUGCCUGCUCCCCAUCCUCAGCGCCCUAGUUGGCCCAGUUCUCCACUUACACAGAACAUUCACGGUGAAUGAGGCCUUGAUGGGGGCCUCCAGUGCUGGG